rnacentral:rRNA from 1 species
AGGGGGCUAGCGUUAUCCGGAUUGACUGGGCGUAAAGGGUGCGUAGGCGGUCUUUCAAGUCAGGAGUGAAAGGCUACGGCUCAACCGUAGUAAGCUCUUGAAACUGGGAGACUUGAGUGCAGGAGAGGAGAGUGGAAUUCCUAGUGUAGCGGUGAAAUGCGUAGAUAUUAGGAGGAACACCAGUUGCGAAGGCGGCUCUCUGGACUGU